rnacentral:lncRNA from 1 species
GAACUGGAGAGAUGGCACCCCAGCGAGGGCCACCAUGGGGGACCAGAGGCCGCGGGACCGGCCGAGGUCCCCGGGCAUGGACUGCAAGCCCUGGUACUGUGACAAACCGCCUUCCAAGUACAUCGCGAAGCGUAAGCACAGGCGCCUGAGGUUCCCGCCAAUGGACACCCAGAACUGGGUAUUUGUAAAGGAGAGCAUGGACAGCUUCCACUAUGGCUGUCCGUCUCCCGAAGAUAUGCUCAUUUGUAGACUUAACGAGUUCUUACUCCCCAAAAUCUCUCACAGAGGUCCCCAAGCUGACCCGAAAAGCAGGCAGAAAAAGCUGCUCAAGAAAGUGGCCCUGUUUUCCAAGCUCUUGCCAGCCCAGCCAGCAUGGAAGGCAUUUGUAGAGGAAGCCCAGCUGAUGGCCAAGCAUCCCUUGGCCAUGUACCCCAAUCUGGGAGAAGAUAUGCCUCCAGAUCUCCUACUACAGGUGCUGAAACCGCUGGAUCCUGAGAGGCAGCUGGAGGACGCAUGGGCUCGUGAGGGCUGGAAGAAGACAACCAAGGCACCCACCGAGCCUGGUAAAUACCCCUGUGGGGAAUUCUGCCCGAGGCCUCCUGAGACUCAGGUGUUCCAUCUCCACCCGGAGCCUCCCAAGACUCCGGUGUCCAGUCUCACCCAGAGCCUCCUGAGACUGGAGUGUCCUAUCUCUGCCCAGAGCCUCCCAAGACUCAUUGGGUCUCCAGCCUCUGCCCGGAGCCCCCCGAGACUGGAGUGUCCCAUCUCCGCGCAGAGCCUGCCAAGACUCGUCGGGUGUCCGGUCUCCGCCCGGAGCCUCUCGAGACUGGAGUGUCCCAUCUCUGCCCGGAGCCUCCCGGGACUCGCGUAUCUCAUCUCUGCCCGGAGCCUCCCAAGACUCUUCAGGUGUCCAGUCUCUGCCCGGAGCCUCCCAAGACUCGUCGGAUGUCCAGUCUCCACCCGGAGCCUUCCAAGACUGGAGUGUCUCAUCUCCGCCUGGAGUCUCCCAAGACUCGUGGGGUGUCCAGUGUUCUCCCGGAGCCUCCCAAGACUCGUCGGGUGUCCAGUCUCUGCCCAGAGCCUCCCAAGACUGCAGUGUCUCAUCUCCGCCUGGAGCCUCCCAAGACUCGUCGGGUGUCCAGACUCUGCCCGGAGCCUCCCAAGACUGGUCGGCUGUCCAGUGUCCGCCCGGAGCCUCCCAAGAAUCGUCGGGUGUCCAGUCUCUGCCCGGAGCCUACCAAGACUGCAGUGUCUCAUCUCUGCCCCAAGCCUCCCAAGACUCAACGGGUGUCCACUCUCCACCCGGAGCCUCCCAAGAUUCUUUGGGUGUCCAGUCUCUGCCCAGAGCCUCCCAAGACUCGUCGGGUGUACAGUCUCCGCCCAGAGCCCCCCAAGAUGCAGGUGUCCAGCCUCCACCCGGAGCCCCCCAAGACGGAGGUGUCCAGUGUCUGCCCAGAGCCUCCUGAGAUUGGAGUGUCCCAUCUCCACCCGGAACCUCCCAAUACUCAUCGAGUGUCCAGUCUCCUACUACAGGUGCUGAAACUGCUGAAUCCUGAGAGGAAGCUGGAGGACGAAUGGGUUCAUUGUGAGGGCCAGGAGAAGACAACCAAGGAACCCACUGAGCCUGGUAAAUACCCUUGUGGGGAAUUCUGCACGAGGCCUCCCGAGUCUCAGGUGUCCCAUCUCUGCCUGGAGCCUCCCAAGACUCCAGUGUCCAGUCUCUGCCCUGGGCCUCCCAAGACUGGAGUGUCUCAUCUCUGCCCAGAGCCUCCCAAGACUCAGGUGACCAGUCUCCACCCAGAGCCUCCUGAGACUGGAGUAUCCCAUCUCCACCCAGAGCCUCCCAAGACUCGGAUGUACAGUCUCCACCUGGAGCCUCCCGAGACUGGAAUGUCCCAUCUCUGCCCAGAGCCUCCCAAGACUCUGGUGUCCAAUCUCCACCUGGGGCCUCCUGAGACUGGAGUGUCUCAUCUCUGCCUGCAGCCUCCCAAGACUCCAGUGUCCAGUCUCUGCCCGGGGCCUCCCAAGACUGGAGUGUCUCAUCUCUGCCCACAGCCUCCCAAGACUCUGGUGUCCAGUCUCCGCCUGGGGCCUCCUGAGACUGGAGUGUCUCAUCUCUGCCCAGAGCCUCCCAAGACUCGGGUGUCCAGUCUCUGCCCAGAGCCUCCCGAGACUGGAGUGUCCCAUCUCUGCCCGGAGCCUCCCGAGACUCAUCGGGUGUCCAGUCUCCGCCCGGAGCCCCCCAAGAUGCAGGUGUCCAGUCUCUGCCCGGAACCUCCCAAGACUGUAGUGUUCCAUCUCCGCCCAGAACCUCCCAACCUCCCAACACUAGUUGGGUGUCCAGUCUCCUACUACAGAUGCUGAAACUGCUGGAUCCUGAGAGGAAGCUGGAGAAGGCAUGGGCUUAUUGUGAGGGCCGGGAGAAGACAAUCAAGGAACCCACCAAGCCUGGUAAAUAGUCUUGUAGGGAAUUCUGCCUACGGCUUCCAGAGACUCAGGCAUCCCAUCUUUGCCCUGAGCCUCCCAAGACUCGUCAGGUGUCCAGUCUCCGCCCGGAGCCUCCCAAGACUAGAGUGUCCCAUCUCUCCCCAGAGCCUCCCAAAGCUCCAGUGUCCCAUCACUUCUUGGAGCCUCCCAAGAUUCGAGCGUCCUGUCUAAAAGAACUGCUUCAGGAAGAUACACCAAGCACAACAGAAUGUGUUUCUGACUCUCUUCAACAUAGAUACACAUCGAGAAAAAUGCAUGACUUCAAGUGGGCUCGAGACAUGGGAGUUGAUGAAGAAUCCAUCAGGAAUCUGUUUGACUUUACCCCCAAGUGGAGAGCAACCUAUGAAGACCAACAGAUUAAGAAGAUAAAAGAAUGGGUCUCAGAGCUGCAAUACAGAAUAAAGCUAGAUGAAAUGGAUGAGGUCGAAUCCUCACAGGAAAAAGACUGGGACAGGAAACUCCAGAUGGCACCGAAUUCUUACACUGCACAGUGUGUGAAGAUGAGGUAUGGAGUAUGGUACCUUAAGCCUAAGCUGGGGAAAAAGCUAAGAAGUGAUCAACCUUUGAUUGACCCCAAGCUCUUACUUGAAAAGCCAGAUGAACCCGAUAUUCUUGACGAUCUUUAUGGACCAAUUGCCUUUAAGGAUUUCAUUCUAAGCAAGGGCUAUGAAAUGCCUGGCAUCAUUGAAAGGCUGUGUGCCAGGAAGGGAUGGACUUAUGACUCUGUUAAGACUCCUGUUCAACGUGCAAUGAGACUUUACAAGUAGAAAGAAGACGUCACAGACGUAUCGGAAGAAGAUUAG